ACGCUGGCGGCGUGCCUAAUACAUGCAAGUAGAACGCUGAAGGGAGGAGCUUGCUCUUCUUGGAUGAGUUGCGAACGGGUGAGUAACGCGUAGGUAACCUGCCUUGUAGCGGGGGAUAACUAUUGGAAACGAUAGCUAAUACCGCAUAACAAUGGAUGACCCAUGUCAUUUAUUUGAAAGGGGCAAAUGCUCCACUACAAGAUGGACCUGCGUUGUAUUAGCUAGUAGGUGAGGUAACGGUUCACCUAGGCGACGAUACAUAGCCGACCUGAGAGGGUGAUCGGCCACACUGGGACUGAGACACGGCCCAGACUCCUACGGGAGGCAGCAGUAGGGAAUCUUCGGCAAUGGGGGCAACCCUGACCGAGCAACGCCGCGUGAGUGAAGAAGGUUUUCGGAUCGUAAAGCUCUGUUGUAAGUCAAGAACGAGUGUGAGAGUGGAAAGUUCACACUGUGACGGUAGCUUACCAGAAAGGGACGGCUAACUACGUGCCAGCAGCCGCGGUAAUACGUAGGUCCCGAGCGUUGUCCGGAUUUAUUGGGCGUAAAGCGAGCGCAGGCGGUUUGAUAAGUCUGAAGUUAAAGGCUGUGGCUCAACCAUAGUUCGCUUUGGAAACUGUCAAACUUGAGUGCAGAAGGGGAGAGUGGAAUUCCAUGUGUAGCGGUGAAAUGCGUAGAUAUAUGGAGGAACACCGGUGGCGAAAGCGGCUCUCUGGUCUGUAACUGACGCUGAGGCUCGAAAGCGUGGGGAGCGAACAGGAUUAGAUACCCUGGUAGUCCACGCCGUAAACGCUGAGUGCUAGGUGUUGGAUCCUUUCCGGGAUUCAGUGCCGCAGCUAACGCAUUAAGCACUCCGCCCGGGGAGUACGACCGCAAGGUUGAAACUCAAAGGAAUUGACGGGGGCCCGCA
rnacentral:rRNA from 1 species